CUUUCUCGCGUGCCUUUAAAGUCUUUCAUAUCAAUCCCAUCCUUAUAAACGUUUUCCCUUCCUUUCCCUUCCAUCUUCCUAACAAUUUUAAAAAAACAAAACAAAAAUCAUCAACAAAUCAAACCCUAGGUUAGGCUAGCCAGCUCCAAUCGAUCCUCUCCUCUGUCUCAGAUGUCCCUCCGCCAGUCCUGAAUCAUCACGCGCGCGUGGCACAAACAUGAGCACCCGCAGCAGCAGCGGCGGAUGUGGAGGCG
rnacentral:lncRNA from 1 species